CCUACGGGAGGCAGCAGUGGGGAAUAUUGGACAAUGGGCGCAAGCCUGAUCCAGCAAUGCCGCGUGAGUGAUGAAGGCCUUAGGGUCGUAAAGCUCUUUUACCAGGGAUGAUAAUGACAGUACCUGGAGAAUAAGCUCCGGCUAACUCCGUGCCAGCAGCCGCGGUAAUACGGAGGGAGCUAGCGUUGUUCGGAAUUACUGGGCGUAAAGCGUACGUAGGCGGUUAUUCAAGUCAGAGGUGAAAGCCCGGGGCUCAACCCCGGAACGGCCUUUGAAACUAGGUAGCUAGAAUCUUGGAGAGGUCAGUGGAAUUCCGAGUGUAGAGGUGAAAUUCGUAGAUAUUCGGAAGAACACCAGUGGCGAAGGCGACUGACUGGACAAGUAUUGACGCUGAGGUACGAAAGCGUGGGGAGCAAACAGGAUUAGAUACCCUGGUAGUCCACGCCGUAAACGAUGAUAACUAGCUGUUCGGGCACUUGGUGCUUGAGUGGCGCAGCUACGACAUUAAGUUAUCCGUCCGUCGGGUAGGUACGGUCGCGAGAAGUUAAACUAACGAAAGGAAAGUUAGUAACGGUCGUGAGAGUGCCGAACGGACGACGACGAGGGAGGAGG
rnacentral:rRNA from 1 species